UACAGAGGUCUCAAGCGUUUGUUCGGAUUCAUUGGGCGUAAAGGGUGCGUAGGCGGCGCGGUAAGUCGGGUGUGAAAUCUCGGGGCUUAACUCCGAAACUGCAUUCGAUACUGCCGUGCUUGAGGACUGGAGAGGAGACUGGAAUUUACGGUGUAGCGGUGAAAUGCGUAGAUAUCGUAAGGAAGACCAGUGGCGAAGGCGGGUCUCGUGGACAGUUCCUGACGCUGAGGAGCGAAAGUGUGGGGAGCGAACAGG
rnacentral:rRNA from 1 species